CCUGCUAAAUAGCCUGUCCGGCUUUUGCUGGUCACUGGCUUCUUAGAGGGACUGUCAGCGUCUAGCUGACGGAAGUUUGAGGCAAUAACAGGUCUGUGAUGCCCUUAGAUGUUCUGGGCCGCACGCGCGAUACACUGACAGAGCCAGCGAGUACAUUUCCUUGGACGAAAGGCCAUGGGUAAUCUUGUGAAACUCU
rnacentral:rRNA from 1 species